AGUGAACGCUGGCGGUAGGCCUAACACAUGCAAGUCGAACGGCAGCACAGUAAGAGCUUGCUCUUACGGGUGGCGAGUGGCGGACGGGUGAGGAAUACAUCGGAAUCUACUUUUUCGUGGGGGAUAACGUAGGGAAACUUACGCUAAUACCGCAUACGACCUACGGGUGAAAGCAGGAGAUCUUCGGACCUUGCGCGAUUGAAUGAGCCGAUGUCGGAUUAGCUAGUUGGCGGGGUAAAGGCCCACCAAGGCGACGAUCCGUAGCUGGUCUGAGAGGAUGAUCAGCCACACUGGAACUGAGACACGGUCCAGACUCCUACGGGAGGCAGCAGUGGGGAAUAUUGGACAAUGGGCGCAAGCCUGAUCCAGCCAUACCGCGUGGGUGAAGAAGGCCUUCGGGUUGUAAAGCCCUUUUGUUAGGGAAGAAAAGAAGCAGGUUUAACCGCCGCUGUUCUGACGGUACCCAAAGAAUAAGCACCGGCUAACUUCGUG
rnacentral:rRNA from 1 species